rfam:Daphnia pulex DAPPTscaffold_71_Cont3686, whole genome shotgun sequence.
UCGCUCGAACCCGUAGAUCCGAACUUGUGUGUGAAUUCACCCCAAAUUCAUAAUUGAUGACAUCACAAGUACGAUUCUAAGGGUCCAAGCUGA